rnacentral:rRNA from 1 species
GAUGAACGCUGGCGGCGUGCCUAAUACAUGCAAGUCGAGCGAACGGACGAGAAGCUUGCUUCUCUGAUGUUAGCGGCGGACGGGUGAGUAACACGUGGAUAACCUACCUAUAAGACUGGGAUAACUUCGGGAAACCGGAGCUAAUACCGGAUAAUAUUUUGAACCGCAUGGUUCAAAAGUGAAAGACGGUCUUGCUGUCACUUAUAGAUGGAUCCGCGCUGCAUUAGCUAGUUGGUAAGGUAACGGCUUACCAAGGCAACGAUGCAUAGCCGACCUGAGAGGGUGAUCGGCCACACUGGAACUGAGACACGGUCCAGACUCCUACGGGAGGCAGCAGUAGGGAAUCUUCCGCAAUGGGCGAAAGCCUGACGGAGCAACGCCGCGUGAGUGAUGAAGGUCUUCGGAUCGUAAAACUCUGUUAUUAGGGAAGAACAUAUGUGUAAGUAACUGUGCACAUCUUGACGCUACCUAAUCAGAAAGCCACGGCUAACUACGUG